rnacentral:rRNA from 1 species
AGUAACGGCGAGUGAAGCGGCAACAGCUCAAAUUUGAAAUCUGGCUCUCGGGCCCGAGUUGUAAUUUGUAGAGGAUGUGUGUGAGGCGGUGCCGUCCGAGUUCCCUGGAACGGGACGCCAGAGAGGGGGAGAGCCCCGUCUGGUUGGAUGCCAAAUCUCUGUAAAGCUCCUUCAACGAGUCGAGUUGUUUGGGA